rnacentral:misc_RNA from 1 species
CACCCAAGCAUGAUAUUUGUCUGACAUGAAGCUAAGGAUUGCAACAUAUGCUGAGAAUUUCAAUAAUUAUAGAUGACGAGAAAAAAGAAAAUCUACAAUUUUUUCCUUCUUUUGUUCUCUUUUGAAUGAAAAUAAAGAGGCAAAAUCUCAAGAGUGUGGACGCUCAGACACAAUACACAAGCAGGUGGUAAUUCAUUGAUGCUCGACUCAUCAAGCAUUAUGGUUUUCACCAUGGCUAAGUUGAUGAUAGAACAAAAGAUAACUCACCAGUCACCACCUAAAUAAGCAUACAUUGGAUCUUAUAAACAGCCUCAACUAUAAAGUCCAUACUCCAAACAACACCCAUCAAAGGUAAAUCCAGAAAAGGAUACUGAAUAAAGAAGUACAAUCUUUGCCCACAGCCUUCAUCAGCAUAUCAAC